UACGUAGGGUGCGAGCGUUAAUCGGAAUUACUGGGCGUAAAGCGUGCGUAGACGGUUAUGUAAGUCAGGUGUGAAAGCCCCGGGCUCAACCUGGGAAUUGCAUUUGAGACUGCAUAGCUAGGGUGCGGAAGAGGGAAGCGGAAUUUCCGGUGUAGCGGUGAAAUGCGUAGAUAUCGGGAGGAACACCAGUGGCGAAGGCGACUACCUGGCCUGUUCUUGACGCUGAGGCGCGAAAGCUAGGGGAGCAAACGGG
rnacentral:rRNA from 1 species